CACAACCCCUCCUCCCCCACCGCGAGGACACUGAUAGCUGUCGCCCCGUGUGUGGGAAGCAGGGCUCAGGGCACAGGGCACCGGGCAGCCUCCACCUAAGGGACCUCGGCCACCACCUGUCAUCAGGGAGCUACUGCGCAGGCAGGCAUUCUCGGGCCACCCUCGCCGCCCAAGGGCACCGCCGCGUGCACAGCCCCGUCCAGGGAUGGCGACCUGGGGUCAGUGGACACCUGCCCUCCGGGGGCUCCCGUCUGGUGGUGGAGUGAGGGCGCACCGGUGGAAACCGAGGCUGGGAGAAGCCGUCAGCGGAACCGGAUUUUUACCCCAGUCUGUAUCGUGAGCAGCCACGGCCCUGGCCCCCACUUGCCCGGGGCGCCCUCCCCACGGGCAGCUGCACCCUCUCACACGCGAGAAAUCGAGACUGCGGGGAAAGGGUGCCUGCGACGCGGCCGCCCGCAGGGCCCGAGGAAGCAUCUGGGCAAACACUUUGCAAAAUGAAUAAACGAGCCCAAAAGCUGA